rnacentral:rRNA from 1 species
UACGUAGGGGGCAAGCGUUGUCCGGAUUUAUUGGGCGUAAAGAGCGUGUAGGCGGCUUUACAGGUCCGCUGUGAAAACUCGAGGCUCAACCUCGAGCUGUCGGUGGAAACCGUAAAGCUAGAGUCCGGAAGAGGAGAGUGGAAUUCCCGGUGUAGCGGUGAAAUGCGCAGAUAUCAGGAGGAACACCGGUGGCGAAGGCGGAUCUCUGGGCCUUACCUGACGCUGAGGCGCGAAAGCUAGGGGAGCAAACAGG